rnacentral:tRNA from 1 species
GGGGCAGUAGUUCAGUUGGGAGAACGCUACGUUCGCAACGUAGAGGUCGCGGGUUCGAAUCCCGCCUGCUCCACCA